GAUGGAGCUCCACGCCUGGAGUAAUGGACAUUUCAUCUAAGGUAAGCACACACUCUCUCUACAUUUCACUCAUGCCACCUGCCUUCAGCCUCAGCAUCUCAAACACUUCCCCCAAAACUCCCGGCUCCAGCUUUACAUGUUGCAUCCUCCUUUGCAGCGUGCGGAUAUUAGGCAGUGGAAUUAGCAUUUUCUGGAGGGUUUUAUAACCGGUGGUGCCAGUGGUAAAUCUUAUUUUUAUAGCUUUUUUGUCUCCUUUCCCCACCGUAUUCCUCUCUUCUUUUCCUGUCCAAGGGCUGUCAUUUGGUCUCUGUUAAACAUUUGGGUGAACUUCUGAUUAACUAAAUUGUUCCUCUUUCUUAGCGCCAAAUUCAUUCUUUUUUGCUGUGCUAGAGCCCUCUCUGCUCUCCUUCUCAUUAACUUCUCCAUUUUAAGUUGCCUUAUUAGGUCCUCCACAAUUGCACUAUUAGACCCUGGCAGUCUGGUCCCUUGAGCACCUGGCCCUGGCAAAGUUGGUUCAUCGUUGCGGGCUCCUGACUGACUGGCCCUCGGCACACACAUCCCUGGAUCACCUGCCCCUGGUAAAGUAGCCUCUUGGUCGCUCUCUCUGUCUCCUGUCAUGUCCCUUUCCUUGCCCUCAAAAUCCACCUCAAUUUCUCCCUCAACCUCUGUAACAAUAACAAGGUAAUGUUGCUGUUAUAUGUAUUUUGCAUUUGCACCUACUGUUAUCUUCAAUAAAAGGGUACACUACACUCCUAUAGAAAACAAAUUAAAGCGAAAAAUUACUGUAAUGUGAAUCAAAUCAUCUGCCACAAUCAGAAACCAAAAAAAUGUAUAAACUCAUCUACUGGCAAUGGUUAAUUUGGUAGAAAUUUUUAGAUUAUCUACAUUCUGUAUGCAAAUCCUCAGAGAAUCCCUGAAGCUGGAUGUACUAAUAUGAAUGUAAUGUCUCAUUAGGAGUGUAGUCUAUCCUUGAAUUACAUUAAAUGGGGAAUAUUUUUAGUGUCCAGGACUCAGAUGAAGAGGAUGUUAGUAUGCGUUGUUGAGAGGAACUGCCCUACAGUGACUGGCCAUAGUGCAUACUGGAACUCCACAGAUCUUGCUGGACCAGCAGUAUCGUUUUUGUGGCCAUCACAGGUUUCAGUGGAGCACCCC